AGACAGGAGCUAAAGAGUGCCGAAAGACAGGCUAGACAAAUAAAUAAAUAACAAAACAAAACAAAAACAAAAACAAAACAAAAACAGAAAAUGUAGCGAUGCAACAAAACAAAGAGACGAACAUAUGCAAACCACAAGUUCAAAAAAGGCCAUUUUGUGCUGUUAAUAUAUCUCAUAGGUCUUGCAUGGCUGCCAACACUGAUUUCCCAUUAUCCAGUCAUCUCAACACCUCUCAAAUUAAUUUCAUUUUAACCUAUUCUCUCUGUCAAAAUAUUUUCGCGCCAGAAAAUGUCAGAAGAACUCCCAAGUGGCCAGCAGCGCGCGCAAUACCAGGAUCCCUUGCGCACCAGACAUGCGCACUGGUCCCUGAUCUCUUUGACAAAGCAGACGACAGAUCUCGACAGCUUGACUCGCCUCCUGAGAUUUCUAGAUGAACGCUGUGAUCUUUCAUCGCCGCCAGUUCAUCCUCUACUCUCGACACGCUCAAUCUCUGACUGAAUAUGAAAUCUCGCGGAACAUUUUGGUGAGCAAGACGAACCAGAACGGAGUGGUUGGCGUUUCUUUGCAAACUUGGCAUUGGUGUGGAAACAGAGAACUCCGUCAGAUCAUAUACAAUCAUUUACCUCGGGUGACCUCCCUGCUCAUUAAUAAUUAAUCAGGCGCUGAUGUGCAGGAAAGGCCGUGUUACCCGAGGUACAACAAGAAAAGGGUAAUGUAUACACCGAAGCGCCAUUUGAUGCGAUCCGAGCGGGGGUCACUCAAGAGAUCACAGGCUAAUCGAGGAGACCCGUGGAAAAGAAUACAAACAGACAGAAGCGAUAAAAAAUCGAAGCUUUGUCGGACAGGAAGGAAGAACACGCAUCAGAGGAAAUCGCAGACGAUAGCCACGGUCUGAAAGGUUUGAAAUUUCCGUUGACUGUAGCAGACGUGCAAGACAAGCCUGAGGCUGGGGAAUUCGCCUCGCUUUCAUUAGUCUUUGAAUUCUGGUGACCUGCAACACACACAUUUUCAUCAAAUAAAUGUCCAGUUUACCGUCUAUCAAUAUCUAUUCAAAACUAUUCAAAAUCUCCUUUCGUAUUAUAAUAUAUAGAUUUCCCCUUCCAAUUUUCGAGUUCGAGAAAAAUCAUGGACUUUUCGCUUCGAUACUUAAUAUAUCAUCAUUAACUUUCUAUUCGAUCUUGAACUCUUGUGUUGAGCUUAUAGCUUGUAAAUUGUUAAAACUGGUAAUUCAAACCAGUUUAAGGGCGAACAUUUUGUGAAUAAGUGAUCUCGACUAUUAAAAUAUGAACAUAUGUUUGACUUUCCUUGGAUGAUGAUGGAUGAUGGAUGAUGGAUAAAACCCCAACCAAAUCGCAAUUUAUAUAGCGCAUGAUCACAUUCACGAAGAAACUCGCUCUGAGCGCGACAAGAACGCGACGUGGACAGCAUACGAAGAACGGAAGAAUAAAUAACAAUACUAACAAGUAACAAAAGACUAACAUAGAACAUAAAACUUAUUUCAGACUCCUGAAUUGUUAAUCUUGUAGCAAAACGAUGCAAAAUACUGUCCGCUUGCUUAUUGUCCAAAGAAAUUUUAUUUUAUUUUAUUUUAUUUUAUUUUAUUUUAUUUUAUUUUAUUUUAUUUUAUUUUAUAACUAAGAUUUCAAAUCCAAACCAAUCCUAAAAAGCUUGAUAUUCUUUCACUCAAAGCAUUUUUCUUUCUACAUUUUCUACAAAAUUUCUUUCAAAACCUACUUUUCGAAUUAAAAAAACUGCUAACAAACAGACCGGGUGGUUUUCACGGGGCCUCAGCUACCUGAAGUUUUUGUCACUUGAUCACUCGAUCAUGUAAUAAAAGAGUUUUACCUGACACCGGCCGCGCAUAAGAUGAAACAUGCAAAAACAUUUUUUUCAUACAGAGCGAUGUUUUUACUGUAUUCAUAAUCACGUUAUUAUACAGAUGAACUGCAAGGCGAGAAAUCCUAUCCCUCCUACAAUUUUUUUCUCCUAGGUUUGUAAACAUGGAGACCUGUGGAGAAAUCUCCUCGGUCUGAAACAGCAAUUAGUAGUUGAGGAGAUAGCAGGCGUUUACUUUGCGAUUGAAGACGAAACCAAACGCACCUCUUCUUCGGGAGAGUAAGCGGAAGAAAGGGAGGAAUUGAAAAAGAAGUGGUUUGUCCUUUAAGUUUCCAAUUAGCACGUGGCAAGAGAUUGAAAAGAUGAUUUAAUUUAGCGAGAUUUGGUUUGUGAAGAGCGCUUCGUGAAGUGAUUCUAAGAUGGUCGCUCGACGAAUGGCAGUCGAAGAUUUGUAAACGUGUCAUGCAUAUUGCAUGAUAUGGAAACUGUAAUCUGAUGAGCUAGAGUUUACCCCGAAACUAUUGUGAAUUACCGAUUAAAUGAUUUGUUUA